AGAGAUUAACUGAUAUAUUUGCUCAACAGCAUGCAGCUGUAGUCAUACUCCUUCCAGCAUCUAGUGUCCUACCACAGGAUUUUUCCCACUCCACUGACUGAGAUGGGACUAUUUAUUUAUUUAACCUAGGGGGAAAAAAAAAAAACAUGUAGUAGUUCUGUUAGUUGGCAACAAAUAAAACUUGAGCAUUUUUUUUUUUUGCUAUUCUAUCCUGUAGAAUAUACUAAUAAACGUGGCAAUUUUAAUGAUGUAUAAAUUGUCAUUCCAUGAUCCCUUACACAAAGAAGUUGUAAAUAAAUAAGUUUUGAAUAGGCCAAACACAAUAGAAUUUUAAUUCCAGAAAAAAAAAAAAAAAACAAUCAUUGCUCCAUAUUACGAAAAUGUUUGAAAGGAAUUGUGUUAUAAGAGUAUAUCCAAAGAUCAAAUUCUAUAAAUCAGCUUUUACAGACUUUUUUUUAAGUGUUCUAUUAUUUAUUAAACAGAAAUGAAGUUCUUUGCUUCUUCAUCAAUUCUCACAACUGUCCUGCAUAGGAUUUAUUAUUAAUAUGAUUUUACAUAAGACUACACUAAAUUUAGUUCUCUUUGCAUCCUAUAGCUGGGAAAACAUGACAGUAAAAUUUGUAGCCAAGUCUGUCUGACUCAAAGCCACAUUUUAUUAUUAUUAUUAUUGUUGUUGCUAUUAUUACUGCGUGUGGGUGUUUCCCGAGUAGGCUUCAGAAUGUGGUCAGGUAGAGAACUGAUUAGUAGGACUAAAUUUCAGAAUGCAGAGCACACUUAACAAUCUCUUCCGUUCCAUCAAGAUAUGGAGAAGGACAAACAUUAUAUGGUCUCAUUCAUUUGGGGAAUAUAAAUAAUAGUGAAAGAGAAUAGAGGGGAAGGGAGAAGAAAUGGGUAGGAAAUAUCAGAAAGGGAGACAGAACAUGGAAGACUCCUAACUCUGGGAAAUGAACUAGGGGUGGUGGAAGGGGAGGAGAGCGGGGGGUGGGGGCAACUGGGUGGAGGGCACUGAGGGGGGCACUUGACGGGAUGAGCACUGGGUGUUAUGCUAUAUGUUGGCAAAUUGAACUCCAAUAAAAAAUAAAUUAAAAAGAAAAGAUAUGUGAUC
rnacentral:lncRNA from 1 species